UGAGGAAUAUUGGUCAAUGGUCGCAAGACUGAACCCAGCCACGCCGCGUGCAGGAUGACGGUCCUAUGGAUUGUAAACUGCUUUUGUACGGGAAGAAACACUCCUACGUGUAGGGGCUUGACGGUACCGUAAGAAUAAGGAUCGGCUAACUCCGUGC
rnacentral:rRNA from 1 species